AGAGUUUGAUCCUGGCUCAGGACGAACGCUGGCGGCGUGCCUAAUACAUGCAAGUAGAACGCUGAAGAGAGAAGCUUGCUCUUCUUGGAUGAGUUGCGAACGGGUGAGUAACGCGUAGGUAACCUGCCUUGUAGCGGGGGAUAACUAUUGGAAACGAUAGCUAAUACCGCAUAACAAUGGAUGACACAUGUCAUUUAUUUGAAAGGGGCAAUUGCUCCACUACAAGAUGGACCUGCGUUGUAUUAGCUAGUAGGUGAGGUAACGGCUCACCUAGGCGACGAUACAUAGCCGACCUGAGAGGGUGGUCGGCCACACUGGGACUGAGACACGGCCCAGACUCCUACGGGAGGCAGCAGUAGGGAAUCUUCGGCAAUGGGGGCAACCCUGACCGAGCAACGCCGCGUGAGUGAAGAAGGUUUUCGGAUCGUAAAGCUCUGUUGUAAGUCAAGAACGAGUGUGAGAGUGGAAAGUUCACACUGUGACGGUAGCUUACCAGAAAGGGACGGCUAACUACGUGCCAGCAGCCGCGGUAAUACGUAGGUCCCGAGCGUUGUCCGGAUUUAUUGGGCGUAAAGCGAGCGCAGGCGGUUUGAUAAGUCUGAAGUUAAAGGCUGUGGCUCAACCAUAGUUCGCUUUGGAAACUGUCAAACUUGAGUGCAGAAGGGGAGAGUGGAAUUCCAUGUGUAGCGGUGAAAUGCGUAGAUAUAUGGAGGAACACCGGUGGCGAAAGCGGCUCUCUGGUCUGUAACUGACGCUGAGGCUCGAAAGCGUGGGGAGCGAACAGGAUUAGAUACCCUGGUAGUCCACGCCGUAAACGAUGAGUGCUAGGUGUUGGAUCCUUUCCGGGAUUCAGUGCCGCAGCUAACGCAUUAAGCACUCCGCCUGGGGAGUACGACCGCAAGGUUGAAACUCAAAGGAAUUGACGGGGGCCCGCACAAGCGGUGGAGCAUGUGGUUUAAUUCGAAGCAACGCGAAGAACCUUACCAGGUCUUGACAUCCCGAUGCUAUUUCUAGAGAUAGAAAGUUACUUCGGUACAUCGGUGACAGGUGGUGCAUGGUUGUCGUCAGCUCGUGUCGUGAGAUGUUGGGUUAAGUCCCGCAACGAGCGCAACCCCUAUUGUUAGUUGCCAUCAUUCAGUUGGGCACUCUAGCGAGACUGCCGGUAAUAAACCGGAGGAAGGUGAGGAUGACGUCAAAUCAUCAUGCCCCUUAUGACCUGGGCUACACACGUGCUACAAUGGUUGGUACAACGAGUUGCGAGUCGGUGACGGCAAGCUAAUCUCUUAAAGCCAAUCUCAGUUCGGAUUGUAGGCUGCAACUCGCCUACAUGAAGUCGGAAUCGCUAGUAAUCGCGGAUCAGCACGCCGCGGUGAAUACGUUCCCGGGCCUUGUACACACCGCCCGUCACACCACGAGAGUUUGUAACACCCGAAGUCGGUGAGGUAACCUUUUGGAGCCAGCCGCCUAAGGUGGGAUAGAUGAUUGGGGUGAAGUCGUAACAAGGUA
rnacentral:rRNA from 1 species